CAGAGGUGGGUGGCAGCAGCAGGAAGGAGCCUGGCAGUGUGGGAGGAGACAGGACAGGAGUCAGGGGAAGAAUUUCCAGGUGUUGUUGGUGUUGGUUCAUCUCCACUGGCGAGAGUGGACGUGCAGAUACCUGCCACCUGAAGAACUCAGUCAUCGUGUACAUUUGAGUAACUUAACACAUUGCUGACUUAUUUGUACCACUGACUUAUUUGAUUUUACCGUGGCCAAGCUUAAGGAAGAUAAAGGACAUUCACCUGAAACUUGGGGAGCCCACAGAUUCACUGGUGCCCUGGAUGCUAUCCAGCACCCCUCCUCCUCAGGCUCCUGUGGGGCUCACUCCCCUACUCCUCCCCCUUCCUCUCAAGCAGCUCCUCAGUCUCCUUCUCCAGCGCCUGUUCCUUCUUCUAAAAGCUGUGUCCACAACAACAUGACUUGGGCUGCCAUUUGUUCCUCUCCACACCCUAUUCUUGCCCCUCCAGCCAGAUGCUAUGCAUGGUUUCCACCUGUCGCAGGUCUCUUGCUUCAGCACUCCAGUCCCUGUUUUCCAGUGGCCCUCUAGAUACCAUCACAGCACCAUCAUCCUAUUAGUGCAAACUUUAUGAAUACUUAAUUGCCAGGCAAUAAGCUACACCCUUUAUAUGCACUGUCUUGUUUUAAUCUUGCUGGGAGGUGCCAGCCUAUGGAGAAGGAACUGAAACUUUAAGAGGCUAAAUAAAUUAGGUGCCCAAGACUGCAGAGUGCAUGCAAAGCACAGUGGACUCUUAGUCCUGCCAACUCUUAACCCCACGUCCUUCACCAGAACAGUAAACUUAACAUAUCCCACACUGAACUCAGAUUCAUCCCUAUCCCCUGGCUCUCCUGGAAUGUCCUUGUUUAUAAUGUUAGCCCUACUAUUCCUAAAACAGAAACUCCAAACCUGGCAUUAUCUUUGACUCCUAAAAUAGAUAUGAUGGGUCCAGUCUGGGUAAUGUGUCCACCCCUAGAUCAAUCAAUCCCUUUUGACUAAGCAGCAGGCUAGCUGAGACCUAACAUGACAACUGGGGCCUUGCCUGAAAUAGGGAUUGUUCCCAGACAGUUGAGCACCUAUGGAAAUGUACCCAAGGUUCUUUCACACACAAAAAAAUGUUUGCAACGUGCCCUGCCCUUACAACAUGAAAGUCACCAUAUAAAAAGAGAAGCCACAAAAUAAGAAGCAAAACAGUAUUGUUCUGCAAGAGACCAGCAAUUCUAUCACAUGAGAUGGAAGGCAAUUCCCACACCUUGUAUGAGUCUCUGGUGGUAAACAGUCAACAGUGAUGUGUUCAUGUUCAACAAAGUCCACUAGGAGGACAAGAACAGAAAACUACCCAAAUGACCAUCGGCAAUAGACCAGAUAAAAUAUGGUUCUUUCACACAACCGACUACUUCAGAGCAACAAAAAUUAAUGCUCUACAAACCCACAUAGCAAUGCUGCUAAAACUCACAAGGCAAAGCAAAAAGAAGCCAGACCCAAAACAAGAGUUCAGCAUAUGACUGCCUCCAUGUGAAGUAAGAAAGAGGCAAAACUAAGGAAUUCCACCUCAAAGAAUCCACUGGAGGAGAGCAGAGCAGCUAAGUGGGCUGGUAAUGCCAUCUCCUGUGCUAGACACUGGGUACUCAUGCGUGUUCAGAUUGUCAAAAUUCAUCCAGCUGUUCACAUACCCUAUCUGCCCUUUUCUAUACGUAUAUCAUCCUUCAAUAAUAUUGAAAUGAUGGGGGAGUGCUCAAAUAAAGGCACCUUUAAUCAGCCUUGAACUUCAACACCAAGAUUAUCCUAGAGUGACCAGUUACUGUCACCCCUGCCCCCUCCAUUACCCCACCUUCUGAGAGAACCAGCAACCUUGGGAAAGAGCCACAUUACUUACCACAUGGCCUCAUCUCCUCUGGCCCAGCCUGGCUAGAUAUCCCUCUCCUAGACACUUGGGAGUGGGACACUGUGAAGCCGAGUCACAAGAUUCGGACUGCUUGAUCUGAUAACUUAUACGACUGGUGGAAGGAGUUUCUAGACACGUGCACAGUGAUAAUAACAAGAAAGAUGAUCUGCAGGACUCAGAAGAGGAGGGCCCACGGGCAGAGGAAAGCAUAUGAUCCAAGAGAAAUAGAGAGAGGUGCCACAGAGGUGCUGACUUUCAGCCCUGGUUCCCACACCCCAGCUUCAU
rnacentral:lncRNA from 1 species